CUUUUUGUUUUUGGGAGAGUGGGGUCCGGUUAGCAUAAGAGAGAGAUUCUUGUUCUUCCCCUUCCCCACUUUCUUUCCCAUCCCAUCACAUCCCAUGUUGUACUCAAACAAACAAUAUUGUCUAUUUGAUGGAUUUUAUGCGGAGGGAGAGAGAGAGAGAGAGAGAGUCAACAAGUUUGUAAGUUAAUUUGAGGCAACAACAGCCUUGCCUUUGCUUUUCCAGUUUCACACAACACAAGAAAUGGUUUUGUUGCUCAUCAGAAUUUGGUUCUGGUUGAUGGGAUUCUUAGAUUAAUGAGAGUUACAAAGAAAUUAUUGUCAACGACCAUGUUUGUGGCGCUGGGAGUGAUUGGGGACAAAAAUCCUUCCUGGAAGUUCCUCUUCUUGUUUUUCAUAUUCAGGCUGCUUCUUUGUUUUGGUUCAUGAUCCACUAAUUGCGUUUUUGGAUUUAUAGAAUGGGUGAUUGACAAAUAUCCACCAUGGAAGAUGGCUCCUUCACACCUAAUAUCAUGUCGCCAACCUUUUCACACUCCAACUUUGAUUUCAAUCUCAUGGAUGAACUCUUGUAUGGUGGAUUCUGGUUAGAGACUACCGACCUAUCCAACUUCUGGCACCCUGCAGCUUCAACUCCAUUAACCCAUUUCAAUUCCACCUCAUUUUCAGAGACUAACAUUCACACCUUAAAUACUGAUCCACCUCAUCACAGUUUCUUAAAAGAAUCAGCAAUAUCAAACUUUUUUGACGUCCCAAAUUUGAGCUACCUAGGAAUGGAUGAAUUUUCUGAAACGCAAUCACAUAUCCAUGAAGCUACCACCCCUCCAGCUUCCUUGAACCAAUCUGCAAAUUUUCUUGUCGAGGAAACCCAUGUUAACACCAGGUUGUGGGUUGGACCAAACAGAAACCCAAUUCGUACUCUGUCUGUGAAGAAGAGAUUAGUGCAGGCUAUCAGCUGCCUCAAAGACUCUAUCAGUGAUAAAGAUGUCCUUAUUCAGAUCUGGAUCCCUGUAAAGAGAGGAGGUAGGCAAGUCCUCACAACUAACAACCAACCAUUUUCGCUGAAUGCAAACUGCAAGAAUCUUGCAGACUACAGAGAUGUCUCCCGCAAUUAUCAGUUUGCAGCAGAUGAGGACUCUAAGGAUUUCAUUGGGUUGCCUGGCCGUGUAUUCUUGAACAAGUUGCCUGAAUGGACUCCAGAUGUUCGGUUUUUCAAAAGAGAGGAGUAUCCCCGUGUUAACGACGCCCAACAGCACAACGUUAGAGGAUCACUUGCACUUCCAGUUUUCGAACAGGGCAGUGGUAUUUGCUUGGGGGUGGUUGAGAUUGUGACAACUAGUCAGAAAGUCAAUUAUCGCCCUGAACUUGAAAACAUCUGCAAAGCUUUAGAGGCUGUUGAUUUAAAAAGUUCCAACAUUCUGAGUCCUUCCAAUAUAGAGAACCGUGAAGAAUCUUACCAAGGUGCUCUAACCGAGAUAAAUAAUGUCUUGAAAUUUGUCUGCAACACACACAAAUUGCCCUUGGCUCAGACAUGGGCUUCAUGUGUUCAGCAAAAUAAAGGGGGUUGCCGGCACUCUGUAGAGAAUUAUGCACGAUGUGUUUCAACAAUUGACUCAGCCUGCUAUGUGGCUGAUCCACAAGUUUCUGGCUUCCAUGAGGCAUGCUCUGAACACCACUUGCUCAAAGGUGAAGGUGUUGCUGGGAAAGCAUUCCUUACAAAUCAACCAUGUUUUGCUGAGGACAUUACUGCAUUUAGCAAAACAGAGUAUCCUCUUGCACAUCAUGCGAGGGUGUUCCACUUGUGUGCUUCUGCAGCAAUACGCCUGAGAAGUACGUACAACAGAACAGCUGAUUUUGUUUUAGAGUUCUUCUUGCCCCUAAAUUGCAAAGAUACCCAACAUCAGAUGCGGAUGCUUAACCUAUUAUCAUCUGUUAUACAACAAACAUGCCAGAGUUUACAAGUAAUAACUGAUCAGGAGUUGGCUCAAGAAACUUUAGGCAGAGAAAGAAGCAACACUUCAGCUGGGAGAUUAGAUGAUGAAAAAAAGCAUCCAAAGCUGGUAAUAUCUCCUUCCAAACAAGACUUGCUCGAUGGUUCACCUUGGAUUGCUGCGAGCCGGGUGGAUUCCCAACAGAAGGGCAAAGGAAUUGCUGUUUCUUUUUCUAAUCGCAUGGAGGAACCAGAACGAGAGUUUAAGUUGACUACCCAAUGGGAUAACUCUGGCUCAGACUUUCAGAAUGUGCCAGCAGUUUUAGAGCAUGACGAACUCCAGCGGGAUUCUGGACCCCGAAGAAGCGGGGAGGGUGGUGGAAGCUUUUCUUUGACAAUUGGGCAUCUUCCGUUAGGUGCUCAAACAAGCAGCGAAAGGAGACGGACAAAGACUGAGAAGAGUAUUAGCUUGCAAGUACUUAGACAGUAUUUUGCUGGGAGCCUAAAAGAAGCUGCUCGGAGUAUUGGAGUGUGUCCAACUACCUUGAAAAGAAUAUGCAGACAGCAUGGAAUCACUCGCUGGCCAUCUAGAAAGAUCAAGAAAGUUGGUCACUCAUUGAGGAAACUACAACUUGUGAUUGAUUCUGUCCAUGGUACAGACGGUUCUAUUCAACUCAGUUCUUUCUAUAAUAACUUUCCAGAACUUGUGCCUCCAAAUGUACCAGGAAGCAGCCACUUUUCGACGUCAACGAUGAGUGGUAAUUUGCAGCAGGUGACCAGUCAGCCUGACGGCACCUUGUUAAGUCCUGCAACCACUGCCUCAAAAUCACCUUCAUCUUCUGGUAGUCAUAGCUCCAGUUCAAGUUAUUUUUGUUCUACUGGGGUGAAGCAAUCAUCUAACCCUGUCAAGGUCUCCAGCCUUGGAGAUGCUCUAUCAGCAGAAGAGACUAGAGGGAUGCUGAAAAGAACACGGAGUGAAGCAAAAUUGCAUGAAAAGGGCCAAGAGGAAGCAAAGCCUUUGAUUCGAUCAUAUAGCUAUAAGAUUUUCAGUGAUCACACCGCUAUUGCGGCUCCAGCUGUGCCAAAUGAUAUCAAUCAGGCACAUCAUGUGGGUACUUUUAGAGUAAAAGCAGUUUUUGGGGAAGAAAAGAUCCGAUUCAGUCUGCAGCCACACUGGGGUUUUAAAGAUUUAAAGCAAGAGGUCUUGAGGCGUAUUAACAUAGAUAAUGGCGGUAGCAUUAACUUAAAAUAUCUCGACGAUGAUGCUGAGUGGGUGCUUUUGACUUGUGAUGCUGAUCUUGAAGAAUGUAUUGAUCUACACAGAUCAUCCCAGAGUCGAACAAUCAAACUAUCCGUCAAUCAAGCCUGUGGUUCACAUAUUCAAGGUUCAUUUCGUAGCGAGGGGCCAUCUUGAAGUGGCCUUUACCAUAUAGGAUACUUGAUUUUGUCUUGAAGUGGGGUUUUUUUGGCUUCUUAGAGUCGAAAAUAUUUGAUAAUAGUUGUGUUUGAAGUCGUUUGACAUCCAACGGAGGAAAAGUGAACACUGGCAAUAAUGGAGUGAGUUGAUCAUGAUGAGUGUACUUCUAGAUGCUGACCAGAGAAGAAGCCGCCUGGGGCACUCCUCCUUACCAGUUUAUCUCAAACCAGACAGAUUCAUUCGUUCCCAUGAUAAUUUCUGGAGGUUCUGAAAUUUGUACGUACAGCUCUGCUCCGCUGAAUUGCUUGUAAGAAUGACUACCAGAUAUCAAUGUCACCUUAGGAUAGUUGACAUGUAUAUCCUGGUCUUCUGUUAAUUCAGAUAAAUGGAGGACAUCUUCUGCUAGCACUUGUAAGCAUAUAAUAAUCAGAAUCUCCUUAUUUCAGACAAGCUAAUAAAAGCC